UACAGAGGGUGCGAGCGUUAAUCGGAAUUACUGGGCGUAAAGCGUGCGUAGACGGCUAUCUAAGUCGGGUGUGAAAGCCCCGGGCUCAACCUGGGAAUUGCAUUCGAGACUGAAUAGCUAGGGUACGGUAGAGGGAAGUGGAAUUUCCGGUGUAGCGGUGAAAUGCGUAGAUAUCGGAAGGAACAUCAGUGGCGAAAGCGACUUCCUGGACCAGUACCGACGUUCAGGCACGAAAGCCGUGGG
rnacentral:rRNA from 1 species